AUGGGUGUCCGUCAUGUAUUAGGUACAAGUACAUAUCUGAGGUUACCUUCGAUGGGUCAACCUAUGUCGAAGGCUGGUAAGGAGGUUAUGAUUAAAUCAGUUCUUCAGGAAAUUCCAUCAUAUGUUAUGAGCGUGUUUAUAUUGCCUGAUACUUUGGUGGAGGAAAUAGAGAAGUUGUUGAAUUCUUUCUGGUGGGGAGGAGCUCCUUCUUACCAGAUCGAGCUUCGGAAACUACAAACUUAG